rnacentral:rRNA from 1 species
UAAAUUUUAUUUUUUUUGAAAACCAAAGAAUUUGGCGGUAGAAAUAUUUUUUAGGGGAGUUUGUUUUUUAAUUCGAUAGUCCUCGUUUUACCUUACUUUAAUUAAUAGUUUAUGCAUUUCCGUUAUUAGUUUAUCUAAAUAUAGUAUAAACUUUAAAUUUUUUUUAAAAAAUCAGGUAAUAAAUAGCUUAUAUUAAAGGAUAAAAUGAACUACAUUGUUUAGAAAAUUUGGAUUAAAAUUUGAAAUAUUUUUUUGAAAGGGGACUUAAAAGUAAAUUUUAAUUAGAUUGUUAAGUUGAAUUUAUAAAUUUUUAUGU